UGUUUCAAGAAAGAGUGAACUUGAUUUGUCUGCAUCUACUAAAUCCAGCUGUGACAAAAUUUUAUUUGUGAGGUGCCAGGAGACAUUAUCAUCAUCAUCACCAUCAUUAUUGCUUCAUGCUUCAAUAUUGACUCCAGGCUCUUCCCAAGGAGAGUCUCUACUCCACAGGAUGGCUCAGUCUUUCUGUGAUUUUCUUUCCUGAACCUAAAUGUGAAGAGUGAGGAGAAAAGACAACUAAAAGCAGGAAACAGGAGACUAAACCCUCAGAAAGGUAAGUACUACCAAGCAAGGUAGGUAGGAGAUGUCUGAAGACUGUCUUCAGCAUAUUCAACACACACUCCCUGUGCAAGCCCUCAACUAGGAUGAUACUGCCAGUUCUGCACUGAAAAAUGUUCAGGUUUCUAAAGCGUAAGCUGUGGUGUUGCAAAGCUGAGCACUUCACCCCUAAAGCUAAGCGGGUGAUUGAUGGAAGUGGAACUUUUCACCGUGGGUGCCUUCAGCACCCCCAUCCCCACCCCACCCCAACCUCCUACACCUCCCCCUAGGGGAAACAUCUGAGCUGAGGGUGGAGCCUGCUCCCCUGGGAAGUUUGGGAGUGGCAUUCAGAGAAGGCAGCCUCCUGCCAGGUUGGAGGUCUGAAGGAAUGUGGAAGGUCACUUCUCUGCUGACCUCCUCCCCUCUCCACCCCCAAUGACUGUUUCUGUUGGCCUCCUCCAAGAUCUGGGCAUGUUCUAGCUUUCAGACAGCUGCUGGAGUCUCCUGUAGCUCUGAUCUGGGUGAUGCAGAAUGCCAGGGAGCGUGUGUGUGGAUAGCAAGGAAGAGCACAGGCUAGGGAGCUCCUAGGGAGCAACAGUAAUUUCCAAUAUAGCCACUAUCAUAUCCCCUCCACCCUCAAAUAUGUCUCUCCCCACAUUCACACUAAGAGAAGUCAACAUCAGAGAGUCGGGUCAGGCUCAGUGAGGUUCUUCAGAAUUCCCAAGAAUCUGCCAUCGCAUCUUGGGAGCUAUUCAAGAACUUCCAUAGGUGACUUCUGGGGACCUUCCUCCAAACAGAGAUCCACAUUCUAGGCAAAGUAACUGGCAUUGAAAUCAAACAGAUCUACCAAUGCGACCUGCCAUGCAGCAACUUUGGGGCCUCAGUUUUCUCAUCAAUAAAUUAGGGAUGAUCAUAUCAUUUCUUUUUAAAAAAUUAUUAAUUUAGUUAUUUUUGGUUGCACUGGGUCUUCAUUGCUGUGAGUAAGCUUUCUCUAGUUGCGGUGAGGGACUACUCCUCAUUGCAGUCUUCCACUUCUUUUGCUGCAGAGCCCACGCUCUAGGGCACUCAGACUCAGUAAUUGUGGUACACAGGCUUAGUUGCUCCACAACAUGUGGAAUCCUCCCAAAUCAGGGACUGAACCCAUGUCCCUUACACUGACAGGUAUAUUCUUAUCCACUGUACCUCCAGAGAAGUCCUAUCACCUCCUUUUAAUGGUUGGAUUGAGAAUGACAGAGGAUAGCAUAUGUCAAGUGCCUCGUACUGUCCCUGGCUCAUGACAGAGCCUCAGUAGGUAUUAAUCUUCCCCAGUCACUGUCAUUUCACAUACUUUCAGUAGGAGCAUGCAAGACCACUCCCUCUAUCCUGUAAAUUUUCCCCAGCGCCCCUUACAUAAAAGUCACAGUGAAUUUUGGUGACAACUGGUUUGCUCAACAAAAGACAGUUCUACUCAAAUUUGACUUAAGAAAGAUCUGUGGAGCACAAGCUAUCUCUGUGUAGGUCCUGGGAGGUAGAGAUGAUUUCUGGUUGCCUAUUGCCAAAACCACCCUCAAAAUGUAGUGUUUUAAAACAACAAUGUCUUACUGACCUUGUGGGUCUGUGGGUUGACCCGGCUUGUUUUCAUGCAAAGACAGUUAGUGCUGAGUCAUUGGAAGGCCUGCCUGGGCUGGGUGUCCAAGACCACUUAUUCAUUGAUUUAUCUGAUGUCUCAGUGCUUCUCCCCAUGACACCUAUCUCCAGGAGAUCAGCCAGGAUUUCUUAACUUGGUGGCUUAAGGCUCCAAGAGAAAGGAAGUAGAAACUGCCAGUGAUCUUAAAGCCUGAGCCUAGAUACGACUGAAGUGACUUAGCAGCAGCAGCAGCAGGAAGGACCCCGGUUGUCUUCUGCCUGAUUCUAAUGACAAAGCAACUACAUGUCAGCCCAGAUUCAAGGAAGAAGAGGAAUAGAUGCUACCUCUCAGUGGGGGAGUAGCAUAUGUUCACAAAGGGGAGGGAUUGAUUGAUAGUGGACAUCUUUACUUUAGAGACAAGCUGCCACCAAUGGAUACAACAUAUGCAUUCCACGUGGAUAUAAAUGCACGAUGUUUACUCAUAAGACUUUUUUGAGCUGAUAGUUCUUCACCCAAGUGUGCCAUAAACACCAUUCAUGUGUCUCAAGCUUUUGAGUUCUUACCACUGGAAAAGAUGCCACAGUUAGGCACAAAUUUAGUAACUGCAUCAGAUCAUUAUAUUUUUCACUUGGCGAAGGCGUCUUCAUCACGUUGGAACUCUUUUUUAUCCACAAAUUUUAUCUUCCAUGUGAGCCUGUCACUCACUUUGUAACUCAUUGUUCUGACUUCAGAGUAAAAACCAAGGCUUCAGAUCAGUCAGAUGCUGCUUUAUGUUUUUCUUUUGUCCCGAUGAUCAUGGCUUCCAGUGAGUUCUAAUUACUCAGCUAAUUCUUCUAACUAGAAUAAACCACAUCCUUUAAUAGCUCCUUGUACUUCAAAGCACAUGCCUUAAUUUGUAACUAUAUUCAUGAGAUUGUUGAAUUGAUUUCCAUCUUCCCCACUAGACUCCAAACUCUAUGGAGUCAGAUACUAUUUAACUCCAGCAUUUAGGUCUGUACUUAGAACACACUGCU